AGCAAAUUGAAAACUGACACUAGCACCUUCGUUCCGCGAUGCCAUGCAGAAGUUGUCAGACCCCGCCCUGGAGAACUGAACUGCCUUCGCCACUCCAGGAAGCUGAGCCAAUCUGAAUGCCCACCACUCUGCAUCUCUUCAUCCAAGCUGUAGUCUUAAGGCACAGCUUUCCUGAGCCUAUGCAAAAAGCUGGAAUAAGCUUCCUGCUCUGAUGGCCUACCUAGAAACACUUGACUCCCAUCCCUUCCAUGUCUGUCUCCCUGGCUGGCAACUCUGAAAUUCUUACAAGGCAACAUGCAAAAUAGUCCCCAUUAUCCGUGUGUCUUAUUGUAGUAAAAAGGAAGAGCUGGGAAAAUCACGUGGAGAUCCUAAAGAGUAGGACUGAUCUUCAUAAAAUCCAUCUAUGACUUUAUGAUCGCAGGAGAGGGCACCAUAAUAGUGUCAGGAGGGGACUCCGGGAUACAGUGUUCUUAGAGGGCAAUCUCGCUGUUGCUCUGGGCUCAGAUCCAUCUCCUUCAGUCUAAACCCAAGAGCGCCAGCUUUCCUUGGGCCUGCCAUUAUUCUUGCUUCUGCUCUGCCUGGGAGAAGCCUCCCCUCGCUGCGUGGCUCUCACGCCUGUAUCCUAAUUUAAUGGUUGCUAUGCGCAUCUGCUCUACUGUAUUUUUUUCUCGAAGCCUUUUGUUAAAUUAGGCAGGGCUCCGCACAAUUGGUGAAAUGAAAUGUAAUUCAAAAAUAAGCAUUAAGCUCUUCGUGUUUAUUACUUUAGUUGCUGAAGGAUACAAAGGCAUCCUACCUGCUCUCAUUUCCAAGGGACUGAGCAAAAAUGAAUACUGCCCCAGUCUCACUUGUAAAAAUGCUUACUUAGCUCAUGUACGUUUUUUGGCCUUAAAAUUUUAAUUAGAACAUCUUACCUUGGACGGAGGACUUAUCAUUAGUUUUUAUCAGCUAUAAUGAAAACCAUAUCAGAAGAGCUUUUACACAGACAGGAGCAGGAGGCAAGGCUCCUCCAUGAGGUCAUGGGCUGUAAGACUGAGAGAAGUAAUGGUGCAACCAGGGGUUAGGUGAUUCUGGGAGCACUACCAAUAUUUGGGGAUCACCACUUCUCUCCCAGGCCCCACUCUCCCCUAUGCCCAAGAAAGCUGAGGAAAUGCCCACCAGUUUUAAUGACAUUUCUCUUCCAGAUAACAAAUCUGAGUUUUCUGUACACACAUAAUCCCUCUGGCCCCUGUGAUGCUUGCAUCCAGGAUGAACAGCUGGAAAGGCUCUCUUACCAGUGGUACCCUAGAUAGGGCUGACACUGAGGUCCUGUGCUUAGGACUCCUUCAGUCCCAGCUUUCGUCUUGAAUGUGGGUGAAGAUACAGUGGAGCCUGAGCAGGAGGCAGCUCUGAGGUCAUCCCAGUGCUCAGUGGUGGAGUGCUCAGAUAGUCUCAAACACCUACUGGUCUGGUGUCCCAUCAGAAAGUGAGAGCAGGACCAUAGUUACACUAACCACAAAAGGUGGCUUGAGACAGGAAGAGUUAUUGGAGACUCUGAGAAUGGAGAAAAGUGCACAAGAUUCCAGAUGGAAAAGGGAUCAGUGAGACCAGUAAAGAGCAAAAGCAGAGAUAAGCUGAAGUGAGGAGAAACAUCCCCAGUAACACACACUGAGUCUUUUGCUUGCGAAGGAACAAUCCAAGAAAGCUACUGUUUACCAGGCUAGCUUUCUCCUAGUAAUGGCAUCUGAGGACCCAAAGAACAAGGGAGGGGAUCUAUCCUGUCUUGUUACAAUGGUUCCUGGUUUAGUCUCGAUGACAGACUAUGGGAUCUGAAUUCACAGACUUGUGAGUCAGAGAAGGAACUGCAAAAGUCUGGUCUAUGUGUUACUCUCAGUCUGUCAGUCUACAGUGUUGGGGGUGGGGGCAGUGGUUCAUUUAUUUGUAAGGCACCGCUAUGGAGUAGCACAGUUAGGGAUAAAACGUAAGCUUACAUGGGAAGAAGAAACAGAGUGGAGGUUUACAAUGAACGUGAGUAAGUAAUUUUUGCCAGGAAUAUUUUGUGGAAAGUUAUGGCCAUUGACAAUGACAGGAUAGGCCCUUUAUUACACCUUCUUGGAUAUAUGAAUUUAUAUGUAAAGACAAAUUAUCAUUAUGAUUGGAAGACUGGCUUUGAAGUUGUGUUUUCAGUUCAAAUACUGAGUCCUCACGUCUCCAUCUGUGUAACUCAUACCAAAUAAUACCUAUUUCAUCCAAAGGGUAGUGAGCAAGAAUGUGUUUGUGUGUGUGUAAUGAGAAGGGAGAAAGUCCCCAGUGUACUGACCCUUAAAAGAAGAGUCUAUUAUUUAUAGUCCCCAAGAGAAGGGCCACAACACCCCAGUAUCAUAUGUAGGGUUGGUCUGCAGAUAGAGAAAGUAAGAAGAAAGUUUGGCAAUAGGCUUUAUUAUGGUUUCCAUGGGAGGGGCUGGGCAAGGAAGUAUGGAGAAACUAGCAUGCUUACGAGUGGAUAACAUUUUGGCAGGCUAUGUGAGUGAUCUUAAGUGAUCCUGAGCUUGGUCCUGGUUUAGGGUAAGAAAUGGUGCCAUGUUCUAUGAGGAUGAGACAAAGAAAGUGGUUCUUCCAUCCAGGAAUAAGACAGUACUAAGAGAGCCAGUGUCUCUAGGAAUAACAAGGUUUGAUCUUAUACAUGUCUGGAGGAGCUUUUGAUUAACCCUGGAUGAAGUUAAUGCUUGGCAGGCUGGGAGACAUCAUCAACAUACUUUAUGGUUCUAUAGCAUGACGCUUAUUUUCAUGUAAUAACUGUGACAUGGAGAAAGGUAUAAGGGAAAUGACAUAAAGCUCCCUGUCCAAAGGAGAGCUUCAACUCACCUACACAAGUUUUGUUACCUAUGACAAUUGGUAGCAGAAACACAAAAGAUAGAUCCCGAUUUCAGGGACUGUAGUCAGCAUUAGGCAAGGAGAUCACUGGCUACCUGGAGAGAAAUGGUUCUGGACAGAUAGAGAAAAGGAAUCCUGGCAGAGGAGAUUGAGAGAAAGGAGAAAAAGAGAAGCAGAGGGAAAGAAAGGCUGUGAAGAGUCCUGGUAGCUUCCAGAUGAGAACUCCCGUGACAGGUGGCAACUUGAACCAGCAGGUGGUAUCUUCAGCCUGCAGAUUGAAUGGUCCAGAGAAGCUGAGAAAGAGCAAGAAUCGUCAUGGCAAGAAAAGCUUGUCACAGACUAAUGAUGUUGGUUAAACUGGAUGAAAUGGCUGGUGAGGUGACAUACCCAUUGUUUUCCUCCCUAGGUGUAAACUGUGCUUGGUGAUAGAUGAUCAGCUAUGUCUUGGGAAAAGCAACCCAGUGGAAGUGUGCCCUUGACUCAUUCCACAGAAAAGACAACCAGUCAAUGAAAAUAUACCAAGACCAAAACAACGUACAGAAUGAAGAGUUUAUUGGGCUUACAGCUUCAGAGGAAUGUGCUAAUGAUGAAGUACUUUUAUCAUCACCAAUAACCUGGAAGUCAUAACUGAAGAGCGAGCAGAAGGGUGUACUUAGAAGUUUGGUCUAUAGUUCCUUGGCUCCAGUGCAUGGGCAGAACAUCAUGGUGGAAAGGAAGCAGAAAAGAGAAGCGCACCGAGGGAUGGAGAAAUUGGGCUGGAAAUAACUCAAUGCCUGAUGGAAGCAGACUUGAGCCCACACAGACAGGAGCAAGACAUGAAGACAGAGAUUGUGAACUGUUUCUUGCAUGUGUACUAGGUCUGUUCAGAGUCCCAUCCUUGUUCCAAUUUUGCAACUGUUUGCAGAUCUAAAUUCCAUGCCAAACGGGGCUUUCUGUGGACCGUGGUUUACUUUUUCUUGUAUAUACUGUCUCAUACAUGGGAUCUAUUACAACUGUGUGCUUUUUAUGGUUCAACGUAUUCCCAGAGGGCAGAUGUGCUCAGAAAGGUCUAAAGAGAGGCCUCAGGGGCCAGGGGCUCUCAGUUCCAUCCCAUUGGCCAUGAGGUUAAGCUCAGACCACAGGCUAGAUUCGUGGCUUGCAGUCAGAAAGUGAGUGAGGCAUGAGGUAAGCAGUUAAAAAGGAGUGGGGCAGAAGUGCUGAAGAAGAUCAGCCCAUCAAAACCAGAGCAUGCUUUCAGCAGAAAUCUGAGACAAUGCUCCAUUACAGUAUUUUGGGUAGUUUUUUUGGGUUUGUUUUGGUCUAGAACAGUAAGUACCACAAUGCGUCUUCCAGACCCUGUGAGGACAGAUGCAUGUGUUCAGAUUACAAAAGUAUUGGUUGUGAGGGGUUAUCAGCUGAGGUAACUUCUCUGAAAAUGACUCUCAGUAGGAGGGAUAGGCUUCAUUUAGGAUUACCCCACUUUACAAGGGCAGGCACCUAGGUUGUACAGAGGCCUAUCACCCUGCCCUCUUGUAGGGAUGACUCUGAAGCGCAAGUGAGUACAAGUCUCUAGAAGAUGGAUUGGGAAAAUGUUCCUAAUACUUCUCUGGAAGUUCUAUCAUUCCCUUCAUCAAAACUUGAUUCUCUGUCAUCAUAGGUGUUCCUCCUAAUAUCUCUCUAGUCUAAUACCUUGCUCCAUCUGAGAGUCUGUUUCCAUGGAGCCAAGCCUAAUACACUUGCUAAUGUGAAUGACCUGUUCAUGCAUGCUCAUAGUUAAGGAGUCACAGCAAGGAGACUAUUUAAUCGUCCACAUCACUAAAGAUACUAGUAUGCUUCAUGGACCAAUAUAAAGGGACAUUUGUAUUAAAAGUUUGAGUAUGUAACUCAACAUCUACAUGCCUGAAAAUUUCUAAUUCAUGCUUUGAUGGCCAGAGGCCUUCUCCUAGGUGGUUCUAUUUAGGUCUUAUUUAGCAUAGAGCAGUGAGUUUAAUUAGCAUCUAAUAUUCUUUAUUCUCCCAUUGUCUUGGCAUGUUUAGCCUCUCUGUCCUGUCUGCCUCUGGCUCAGUCGUCCUAUCUACUCUUCCAGGCAUCGCUUGACAGGUUCCUCCAGAAUGAACCCAGUUCUUCCACACCAGAGAAAGGUGGGAGGUCCCACACUAGUGUUUCAGGGAGCAAUCUGCUGAAAGAUGCAUCACAAGCAAUGCUUUUUCCUCAUGGUGUUCAUGCAUAGAAGCGCUGACAGCACAAGUCUUCCAGUAUGUUGUGAAGUGUCUGGCCAACAGAAAGAACCCAUCAUUAUCUGAUAAUAAACAAAAUUUGUGAAUAAAUGGGUGAAUGAGUCAACCGGAAAAUUCCACAUGCAAGAGGAGGCAGCUUGGAAGAGAGCACGCUUAUAAGAAGUAGAAUAUUCUUCAAAUAUUUAAAGGGACAUUAAAUAAUCCUUGUAACAUAAUAAAGAAAUAUGGACUGGAUCAAGGUUUUAUGAAGUAAAUCUGUAAUUGAUUUAAUAACUGUGAACAAGUUUCUGAUUAAUAAAUUAGUGCCAAUUUCAA